GAUGAACGCUGGCGGCGUGCCUAAUACAUGCAAGUCGAGCGAACAGACGAGGAGCUUGCUCCUCUGACGUUAGCGGCGGACGGGUGAGUAACACGUGGAUAACCUACCUAUAAGACUGGGAUAACUUCGGGAAACCGGAGCUAAUACCGGAUAAUAUAUUGAACCGCAUGGUUCAAUAGUGAAAGACGGUUUUGCUGUCACUUAUAGAUGGAUCCGCGCCGCAGUAGCUAGUUGGUAAGGUAACGGCUUACCAAGGCAACGAUGCGUAGCCGACCUGAGAUGGUGAUCGGCCACACUGGAACUGAGACACGGUCCAGACUCCUACGGGAGGCAGCAGUAGGGAAUCUUCCGCAAUGGGCGAAAGCCUGACGGAGCAACGCCGCGUGAGUGAUGAAGGUCUUCGGAUCGUAAAACUCUGUUAUUAGGGAAGAACAAAUGUGUAAGUAACUAUGCACGUCUUGACGGUACCUAAUCAGAAAGCCACGGCUAACUACGUG
rnacentral:rRNA from 1 species